GGUAUAAAUUGCCGGCGCCGCAUAUUUGUCUCCCCGGCGGCAGAAGGACCAUAUCGAUAGCUAGCCCCGAGCCCCAUGCAUGCAACCUGUUGGCAGCCUCUCCCUCCCUCCCUCCCUCCACCCCGAUCUCAGCUCCACCAUCCGGGAGCUUUGUAGGUGACUUACUCGCCUCCCAGCCCCAGCAGUCCCAGGUGAUUAGCAGGCAGGAAGUAGCUGGUUUCUAACCCGGCGCACCGCCCACCUACUCGCCAUCUCCUCCGGCUCUACACCGCGGCCGGCCCUGCAGUCGAUACGUACGAUACCCUUUGUACGUGCGUGCGUACCUAGCCCGUACCUGAACUCCUCCUUGGCGCCAUGGGGAGCUCGUGCGU
rnacentral:lncRNA from 1 species